AUUGAACGCUGGCGGCAGGCUUAACACAUGCAAGUCGAGCGAGCGGCGGACGGGUGAGUAAUGUCUGGGCAACUGCCUGAUGCAGGGGGAUAACUCCUGGAAACGGUAGCUAAUACCGCAUACCAUCAGAUGUGCCCAGAUGGGAUUAGCUAGUAGGUGGGGUAAUGGCUCACCUAGGCGACGAUCCCUAGCUGGUCUGCGAGGAUGAACAGCCACACUGGAACUGAGACACGGUCCAGACUCCUACGGUAGGCAGCAGUGGGGAAUAUUGCACAAUGGGCGCAAGCCUGAUGCAGCCAUGCCGCGUGUAUGAAGAAGGCCUUAGGAUUGGAAAGUACUUUCAGCGGGGAGGCGUUACCCGGAGAAGAAGCACCGGCUAACGCCGUGCCAGCAGCCGCGGUAAUAC
rnacentral:rRNA from 1 species